UACGUAGGGGGGCAAGCGUUGUCCGGAUUUAUCGGGCGUAAAGAGCGUGUAGGCGGCCAGGUAGGUCCGUUGUGAAAACUAGAGGCUCAACCUCUAGACGUCGAUGGAAACCAUCUGGCUAGAGUCCGGAAGAGGAGAGUGGAAUUCCUGGUGUAGCGGUGAAAUGCGCAGAUAUCAGGAAGAACACCCGUGGCGAAAGCGGCUCUCUGGGACGGUACUGACGCUGAGACGCGAAAGCGUGGGGAGCGAACAGG
rnacentral:rRNA from 1 species